GGACCCGUGGCUCAGUGGUAGAGCGUGUGAUUCCAGCUGUUGGUAUUUCCACAAGGUCAUCCGUUCAAUCCGGGUCGGGUUCA